rnacentral:tRNA from 1 species
UAAAUUUUAAGUUAAAAAAACUGUGAGCCUUCAAAGCUUAAAAUGACUUUAGUUCAAAUUUAG